rnacentral:siRNA from 1 species
GUAUGAACGUGCCAUCUCAAUCCA